CAACCUCAACGCUGUCACCAUUCACCUUGGCGCUAAGCAAUUUGGUAGAUGUCUUAAAUUUGAUACCUUGCUUAGAAAUGAUACGAGAUAAAGCCUUGGAAAUGUCUGCAUCCAUAGGACCUCCAACAGCUGGCAAAAACUCAACGACGGUAACCUCUGCACCAAGUCUUGACCAUACACUGCCCAUCUCCAAUCCAAUGAUACCACCACCAAGAACGGUCAUCUUUUUUGGGACCUCUGAUAAAGAUAAGGCACCUGUAGAAGAAACAAUUUUCUUCUCAUCAAUUGUUACACCUGGGAAUGGCUUAACUUCACUUCCAGUGGCAAUGAUGAAGUUUUUGGCUUUAAUAGUUUGAUCUGCAGCACCAUCAAUUCCCUUAACAGAGAGAGUUUGAGGAUCGAUGAAAGAGCCUGUACCCUUAGCAUAUUCUACCUUAUUUUUUUUGAAAAGAUAUUCAAUACCGGACGUUAAUGACUUAACAGAAUCGUCCUUGGCUUUCAUCAUUUGAGAAAGAUUGACGCUAACACCG